GACGAACGCUGGCGGCGUGCUUAACACAUGCAAGUCGAACGAAGUGGCGAACGGGUGCGUAACGCGUAAUCAACCUGCCCUUCAGGGGGGGACAACCGUUGGAAAAGACUGCUAAUACCGCAUACUGAAGGAGGGGAUUGCGUUUGAUUAGGUCGUUGGAGGGGUAACGGGCCACCAAGGCGAUGAUCAGUAGGCGGUCUGAGGGAGUGAACGGCCACAUUGGGAACGGGGCACGGGCCAGAAUUCUACGGGAGGGAGCAGUGGGGGAUUUUCCGCAAUGGACGAAAGUCUGACGGAGCAACGCCGCGGGAGGGGUGACGGCCUUCGGGUUGUAAAGCUCUGUUAAUCGGGGCGCGGUACCGGAAUAGAAAGCCACGGCUAACUACGUGCCAGCAGCCGCGGUAAUUC
rnacentral:rRNA from 1 species